rnacentral:rRNA from 1 species
AACGAACACUGGCGGCGUGCUUAACACAUGCAAGUCGAACGCGAAAGGGGCUUCGGUCCUGAGUAGAGUGGCGCACGGGUGAGUAACGCGUAGAUAACCUGUCCUGGUGUCUGGAAUAAUAUCUCGAAAGGGGUGCUAAUACCGGAUAUUCUUGCUUUCUAUAAGGUAUGCAAGGAAAGGUGGCCUCUGGAACAAGCUACUGCACGAGGAGGGGUCUGCGUACCAUUAGCUAGUAGGUGGGGUAAUGGCCUACCUAGGCGACGAUGGUUAGCGGGUCUGAGAGGAUGAUCCGCCACACUGGUACUGAAACACGGACCAGACUCCUACGGGAGGCAGCAGUGAGGAAUAUUGCGCAAUGGGGGCGAACCCUGACGCAGCGACGCCGCGUGAGUGAGGAAGGCCUCGGUCGGUAAG